rnacentral:RNase_P_RNA from 1 species
GAAGUCAGCUAGGCAAUCGCUGUAUCGCUUGCGGUAUGGAGGAAAGUCCGGGCUCCACAGGGCGGGAUGCCAGGUAACGCCUGGGCGGCGUGAGCCGACGGCAAGUGCCACAGAAAAUAUACCGCCAUCGCUGUUUCAGUGAUGGUAAGGGUGAAAUGGUGCGGUAAGAGCGCACCGCGCUGCUGGCAACAGUAGUGGCAGGGUAAACCCCAUCCGGAGCAAGACCAAAUAGGGGAACGUUGGUGUGGCCCGCACUGUUCCCGGGUAGGUUGCUAGAGGUGCACGGUGACGUGUAUCGCAGAGAAAUGAUUGUCCACGACAGAACCCGGCUUAUCGGCUGACUUCCACU